UACGUAGGGCGCAAGCGUUGUCCGGAAUUAUUGGGCGUAAAGAGCUCGUAGGCGGCUUGUCGCGUCGGUUGUGAAAGCCCGGGGCUCAACUCCGGGUCUGCAGUCGAUACGGGCAGGCUAGAGUUCGGUAGGGGAGAUCGGAAUUCCUGGUGUAGCGGUGAAAUGCGCAGAUAUCAGGAGGAACACCGGUGGCGAAGGCGGAUCUCUGGGCCGAUACUGACGCUGAGGAGCGAAAGCGUGGGGAGCGAACAGG
rnacentral:rRNA from 1 species